GCGGGGGUCGCCAAGCUUGGUCAAAGGCGCCGGCCUGUAGCGCCGGUCCCGUAGGGGUUCGUGGGUUCAAAUGAUUUCUGGAAAUCCCACCCCCCGCA
rnacentral:tRNA from 1 species